AGCACAGGCCUACCAAGCCUUGCAAUGAUGAUGAUGAUGAUGAUGAUGUUUCCCUGUCCUCACUCAGCCACAACCCCAUGUUGCCUUGCAGAAAUAACAACAACGGUAAUAAUAAUAUAUUUCCCUGUCCUCACUCAGCACAGUUCCACGUUGUCUUACAGAAAUAAUAGUAAUAAUAAUAAUAAUAAUAUACAUAUUUCCCUUUCCUCACUCAGCACAGUUCCACAUUGCCUUACAGAAAUAAUAAUAAUAAUAAUAAUAAUAAUAAUAAUAAUAAUAAUAUUUCCCAAGGUGGUCCCAGUAGUGAUGGGCACACUUGGUGCAGGGCCUAAAGGCCUUGGCCUGCACUUAAACACAAUCAGCGCUGACAAAAUCCCCACCUGCCAGCUGCAGAAGGCCACCUGACUGGGAUCUGCACGCAUUAUUCGCUGAUACAUCACACAGUCCUAGACACUUGGGAAGUGUCUGACGUGUGAUCCAAUACAACAGCCAGCAGAGUGUCUGCUGUUUGUGUUUCAAAUAAUAAUAAUAAUAAUAAUAAUAAUAAUAAUAAUAAUAAUAAUAAUAAGUGGGUCAUCAGCUGAUUUUUCGAUCUUGAACAAAUGCAAUUAAGGCCAAGAUCAAAAAAUCAGCUGAUGACCCAAAAUGCAGACUGUGCAAGGAAACCGAUGAAACCAUUGAUCAUAUCCUCAGCUGCUGUAAGAAAAUCGCACAGACAGACUACAAACAGA
rnacentral:lncRNA from 1 species